rnacentral:piRNA from 2 species
UGACUACAAAUCCUACCUCUGAACUAUGC